GACGAACGCUAGCGGCGUGCUUAACACAUGCAAGUCGCACGGAGUGUCGAACGGGUGAGUAACACGUGGGUGGUCUGGCUUGCACUUCCGGAUAAGCUUGGGGAACUUGGACUAAUAAAGGAUAGUGCAAGGUGAGCGCGGGGCCUCUCAGCUUGUGGGUGGGGUAAUGGACUACCAAGGCGUCGAAGGGUAGCCGGCCUGAGAGGGUGUACGGACGAUUUUGGACUGAGGUACGUCCUAGACUCCGACGGGAGGCAGCAGUGGGGAAUGUUGCACAAUGGGCGGAAGCCUGAUGCAGCGAGGUCGCGUGGGGGAUGAAGGCCUUCUGGUUGUAAGCUCCUUUCGACAGGGACGCGGUACUUGUAUAAGAAGUACCGGCUAACUACGUGCCAGCAGCCGCGGUAAUUC
rnacentral:rRNA from 1 species